rnacentral:rRNA from 1 species
AUUGAACGCUGGCGGCGUGCUUAACACAUGCAAGUCGAACGAAGUGGCGACCGGGUGAGUAACGCGUAAUCACACUGCACUUCAGAGGGGGACAACAGUUGGAAACGACUGCUAAUACCGCAUACUGACGGUGGGGAUUGCGUCUGAUUAGCUGGUUGGAGGGGUAACGGCCCACCAAGGCGAGGAUCAGUAGCCGGUCCGAGAUGAUGAACCGCCACAUUGGGAUUGAGAAACGGCCCAGACUCCUACCGGAGGCAGGCGGGGGGAAUCUUCCGCAAUGGACGAAAGUCUGACGGAGCAACGCCGCGUUAGGUAUGACGGCCUUCGGGUUUGAAAGCUCUGUUAAUCGGGACGCGGUACCGGAAUAGAAAGCCACGGCUAACUACGUGCCAGCAGCCGCGGUAAUUC